AUCAGUGCGAAUGUAUCGGAAAUCCUGGCAUGACAUUCGCGCGAGGAUAUUAACCAUUGUGAUGUCCGCGAAACACAAGUGCAUGGGUACCAUAGUGGCGCUGUACGACCCGGCAAAUAUGGCAGAGUCGCUGAUAUUAAUCGGUCAACAGGAAGGAGGUUAAAUUUCUAUUGAUGUGGGACAACCCUGCAGAUAAACAUACAAACAUAUUUACAGUAGUUCCGCCACUUCAGUGCCAAUCAUCGAUAACUGGGAGGCGACUCCACCUGUUCCUACCUAUCAGACUCAACAACUCAUGAGCCGGGCCAACUUCUUUUACUUCCCCUCCGAAGGAAGACGUAACCAGAGAAUUUUCGCCUCAGAAAAUCCCAACGACGCCAGCUGGGAUUGAACCCAGGCCGAUCGGACUGUGAGGGUGUUACGCUAACCACACAACCACUGGCGCCGUCCAUAUUUUUAUGUUUUUGUUUUUUUUUAUUAUUCUACAUGACCCAUAUUUAUAUUAAGGUGCCUAUUCUAACAAAUUCCGUUUAAAAAUCCUAUUCAAAUUGAACGAGAAAAGUGUCACUCAGAU